rnacentral:misc_RNA from 1 species
CUUUUAUAGAUCUGAAAACGCAUAUAUCAUAUCAUUAAUCCCUAAAACACAUUGAUCCAUUUUCAAAUAUCACAUAAAACACUAAAUGCAGCAUCCAAAAACCCUGUUAGCUGUUAGUAUCAAGAAAUUCAACUACACAGAUGUUGAGAUUAUACUAUGAACAUGUUUUCUAUUUAAAACGCUCAGUCAAAGACAGGUCUGCAAUGCCAGCAAUUAAAUCAUCAACUGAUUCUUCUUUACAAUCCUUCCAUGCCCCCGAAUCAUCAGUCCUUGAUGGAAUCAAUUGAUCAUUACUUUCUGAAAGGGCCUUGUUCAACUGUUUAACAAACUCAUCUUCCUCUACAGGAAUGCCCAAAUCCCAGAUCCUAAAGAUAUCCUCAAUUGAUGGCUCUAUCUCAUCUGUUGAACAACCAAUACUGAGCCUUGAAUCAAUGGAUUCACUCAUUCUCUUGUUUUCCUCCCUGUAAUUUGGCAGAAAAGCAUUACUCAAACUUACUGAGAGAUCUCCCUGAAAAUGUUGUGAUAAUGAAUUGCCACACUCCUCCUUGAUUGGAAAUUCAUCAUUGCUUGUUUCUGUUUCUUUAUUAAUUUUGAUAGAACCAACAUCAGUUCCUCCAGAGGACUUAACAAGUCCUGGUUCGGCAGAAUGAAGCAUCUCAAUGUCAGUUCCUCCAGGAAAGCUGUCAGUUCCAGGUGCAGAAGAGUCAUGAGAAUCAGGUUGCAAACCUAGGAUUUCUAUCAAGGCAUCUUUCAUGGAACUCCAAUCACCAUCUGAAAUUUCUGGAUCUUUAAUCAGACAAGAAUCAACCCAUGCUAUUUCUUCAGGUGAAAGGGCAUCUCCGUUCUGAUUAGUCCUCAAGGAAUCAAUAAGAAGAGUAGAUAUAGAGCCCUCAACUAUAUCAUCAUUGGAAGCCAUGGCUAAAUAUUUGUAGAAAACAAUGUCUGUAUAAAGAAAACAGACAACCUUAUGUACAAUUGAUCAAACCUGCAGACGUGAAGACAAUGUUUGAGUCAAAAGUGUAAGAGAUGCAAAAAUUGAGUAUUGCUGAAUGCACGUUAUGAGUAUGUUCUAACUAAUGAAGUCUACUAGUUCAUAUGGACCAGCCACAAUUAUUUGAUCAAAAUAUAUACUUCCAUAACAGUUCAUAACAAUGUUAAAUUUUAGAUUCAUGAGAUGUCAUGCAGAAAGUGUUGAAACCCAUUUCUUUUUCUUUUUCAAUGCCUAUAUUUUUAUGCAUAUAUUUUUGAAAUAAAACCAUUUUUUGACCUAGGACAUAAAAGGAUUCGAUUUGCAGGAGACAAAGGAAAAUAGAAAAUAAAGCGAAAGGAAACUUUAGUUCUUCAAACAAUGAAAUAAAACGAUGAGCAGGAUCAAACCAUGACAAUCAUUCCAAAUGCCAAACUCUCAGCAUCUAUCCAAUAACUGAAGAAAUGACAGCAGAGUAGCAACAACAUAGAAAACCCAUGUUCCACAAACACCUUACAAUUUAUAAAACACCACAUAUUAAUUACCAGAUAAAUUGAUACGUAUGAUGCUAUGGAGGCACACUGAAACUAUCAUAAGAUUCUCAGAAAAAAAACCCUAAUUUAGAUUCUCAAUACCUAAAUCUAUUCAAGUUAGGAAAUGAAUAGGCUUCCAUUGAAACAAAUUAUUUACAAUAAAAGAAUUCAAUUAAAUUCUAUUUCUUUUAUAAUUAAGUUAAAAAGAAUUGAAUUUUUUCAUACAUAAGAAUAGACCAAAAAGAAAUCAAUUGAAUAAAUUGUUAUAAAAUUCUAAUUCUCUGUAUUAAAUUUCCAGUUUCUUUUAUUAAACUUUCCACUAAUGAACUUAGUACAGAUUCGUAAAUAUUCCACAAGAAAGAGAUGGAUGAAAACUAGAGAAAUUUGCCAAAUCCACAAUCGCUACAGAAGAAGAUGAAGAGAGAAACACACCUGAGUUGGAGACGCAAAAACCUAAUUUGACAACAGUCCAAGGCUCUCUUCCUUGAAGCGGUCUUCGAAUUGGGGAGCGAUA